GCUAGCUUAAAAGAUGGAAAUGGAUGCAAGGAGAAAGUUCCUCUGAAAUCGAUUUCUGUAAUCAGAAGAGAGCUGCCAGAAUCAACUCUUGGUUGGCCCCUUCUUCCAAGAACUAAAGAAGCAUUGAGAAGAUCAAAAGCAAGAAGCAUGUCCCUGAUAGAAUGGGUCAUGAAUCUACCUACUCGAUCCUUUGAAAUGAUAAUGGAAAACCAAAAUGAUUCACAUUCUGUUGAAGCCAACAUAUACUUGGAUGGGAAAACAGAAGAUUCCAAAGUAAAUAAUGAGGGAACUAGUGUCCAAGUGGUUAGUUCCUCUGAAAAUAGAUCAGUUGAUGGAAGCAGCAUUAGAGAAGAUGAGCAGUCUGGUCUUACGCAGGAAAUCCCUUCGAGUUCAUUUUCUGAAUUUACAGGAGAAUCGACACAGUUUACACUUGGUUGGCCACUCCUUCGCAUAAAGACUUCUACAACUAUAGACUCUUUGGCAGAAUCUGAGAUGAGUAUACCUAAUCAAUCAACACAAGCUACCCCUAAAUCCCAAAUUAAUUUGCCUUUCAAAGAAGUGGAAGGUUUAGCAAGACAAAGAGUGCUGCCAAUGAAGCAGGAGCUUGUCCUCAGACUGAAUUCAUCUGGCUGCAAGCAGUUCAGCUAUGAGGAGCUUGAGAGAGUAACUCAUAAAUUUUCCUCAGAAAACUUGAUUGGAGAAGGAGGAUGCAGCAAUGUAUAUAAAGGAAGCCUUCGUAGAGGCAAGCUAGUGGCGGUAAAGAUUCUAAAACAGUACAAGGAAGCUUGGAAUGACUUCUCCUUGGAAGUAGACAUUAUGUCUUCAUUAAAGCACAAGCACAUUAUACAUCUGAUAGGUGUAUGCAUUGAAGAUGAUCAUCUAAUUUUGGUAUAUGAUUUCCUGUCCAAAGGAAGCUUAGAGAAAAGAUUAAAAGGUUACAAUGAGAAGUCUAUAUUGCCCUGGAAAGUGAGGUUCAAAGUGGCCAUUGCAGUUGCUGAGGCUCUAAAUUACCUGCACAAUGGAUGUUCUCGCUCAAUUAUUCACAGAGAUGUGAAGUCCUCUAACAUUCUCCUCUCUGAUGAUUUUCAGCCACAGUUAUCGGAUUUCGGGCUUGCGACAUGGGGACCUGAAGAUACAGCCUACAUGACAAGCAGUGACAUUGUUGGAACUUUUGGGUAUAUAGCUCCAGAAUAUUUUAUGCAUGGAAGGGUCAGUGACAAAAUUGAUAUAUACUCUUUCGGAAUAGUUCUCCUAGAAUUGUUAACAGGAAAGAAGCCAAUUAGUUCAGAAGGUAUAAAAGGACAGGAAAGCUUGGUGAUGUGGGCAAUGCCAUUACUAGAGAGUGGGAAAGUUGAAGAAUUAGUGGAUCCGAUGUUGGAUGGGGAAUUUGACACUGUUCAAAUGCACAGAAUGGUUCUUGCAGCAACCCUUUGUAUCAAACAGUCGCCCAGAUUACGUCCAAAAGCAAGCCAGAUAUUAAACCUGUUAAGGGAGGAGAAAGAAGUUCGAGAAUGGAUGAAUGACUAUGUUAACGAUCUACAGAAGUCAAGUCAUGAGGAAUUGGAUGACUUUUUCCCAGAAUUUAAUCAUAAGCCAAGGUCAGAUCCUUCAUUUCUGGAAUUGGAUGAUGAUGCUUCAUCACUAAGAAGUGCAGAACAAAGGCACCAUUUUAGGUUGAAGGACUACUUUAAAGAACAGCAGGAUUAAUCACCAUUAAGCUUUUUGUUUAAAUAUUGCUGCAUUUCUUUCUUCCUGCUCACCAAAACCUUGGCAUUUUAGGUGGCUAGAGGGAAGCCAGUUCAAUGGGG
rnacentral:misc_RNA from 1 species